UCCCACCCAAAGAUUUGGGGAUUUUGGCUUUCUCUGCAAGGCCAUCUGUGGUUCCUGAACUUAAGAAAGGAAGGGGGUUAGGGUGACGGGAAAGUGGGGAGCUGGGGCUUCGAGAGCAGCUUUCCCACCAUCUAGAGGGUGUCGCCUAACCUCCAGGCUGGAUCUCGUUCUUGAACUGCUCACCUGGGAGUCAGAUGCGGGAUCACCACACUCUGAGCCUCCGUCCUUUGCCCGGACUCCACAUCUGAGAAAUGGGUGACAAAACCCCAGAGACGGAGACUUGGCUCAGGGUUACACAGCAGCUGACCACAGGACCAGGGCUGUAAAAGUCAGCGCUCACACUGCUGCCACCACGCUU